CUAGAACCAAUGAGUGGAAAUUAUGGGUAAAGGAAAGAUUCCAGUUCCAUGUUAUGUAGCAGUUCUCCUGCUGAUUAGUACAUUAGUUCAGUCUAUUACUUUGAGAUUACUAUUUAUGUCAGAUUACACAUGCAAAUUAGAAUUUAAUUGUGAGGAUUCUACCACAAACCCAUAAAAUCCAUUAAAAAAAAUACACAUACUAUUGCAUAACUAAAAGUAAGACUACUUAAUUAUCCCCUAAAUUUAUGGAGUCAGGCGUGUGAUGGCGCCCUCUAUUUUUAAGUCUAAAAGUACAAGUGCUGAAAGAGCAGUGUUAGAUAUUUUAAGAGGAAGAGGAGAAUACUG